rnacentral:rRNA from 1 species
GGAUAAUCUGCCCUUAUGAUCGGGAUAACAGUUGGAAACGGCUGGCUAAUAACCGGAUACGCUCAAAAAUGAACUUUUUUGAGGAAAGAUGGCCUCUGCUUGCAUGCUAUCACGUAAGGAUGAGUCCGCGUCCCAUUAGCUUGUUGGCGGGGUAACGCCCACCAAGGCAACGAUGGGUAGCCGAUUUGAGAGGAUGAUCGGCCACACUGGAACUGAAACACGGUCCAGACUCCUACGGGAGGCAGCAGUGGGGAAUAUUGCGCAAUGGGCGAAAGCCUGACGCAGCGACGCCGCGUGAGGGAUGAAGGUUUUCGGAUCGUAAACCUCUGUCAGAAGGGAAGAAACUACGUUGUGCUAAUCAGCAGCGUACUGACGGUACCUUCAAAGGAAGCACCGGCUAACUCCGUGCCAGCCGCCGC